rnacentral:rRNA from 1 species
ACAGCAGCAGCCGCGGUAAUGCGGAGGGAGCUAGCGUUGUUCGGAAUUACUGGGCGUAAAGCGCACGUAGGCGGUUAUUCAAGUCAGAGGUGAAAGCCCGGGGCUCAACCCCGGAACUGCCUUUGAAACUAGAUGACUAGAAUCUUGGAGAGGUCAGUGGAAUUCCGAGUGUAGAGGUGAAAUUCGUAGAUAUUCGGAAGAACACCAGUGGCGAAGGCGACUGACUGGACAAGUAUUGACGCUGAGGUGCGAAAGCGUGGGGAGCAAACAGGAUUAGAUACCCCCGUAGUCCCUGUCUCUUAUAC